GGUCCCGUAGUGUAGCGGUCAUCACGUCGCCCUGUCACGGCGAAGAUCGCGGGUUCGAUUCCCGUCGGGACCG
rnacentral:tRNA from 1 species